AAGUCGUAACAAGGUUUCCGUAGGUGAACCUGCGGAAGGAUCAUUAAAGAAUUCGGCUUCGCGGCCAAGUUCGUCACCCUUUCGUAUUAUCCGAAAACCAUGUUGCUUUGGCAGGCCCCUGCAUUUCCUCGGGCCUGCCAGAGGUUAUAAACCCUAGAAUCUCUGCUGUCUGAGUACUAAUGCAAUAGUUAAAA
rnacentral:misc_RNA from 1 species